GACGAACGCUGGCGGCGUGCUUAACACAUGCAAGUCGAACGGUGAAGGGACCGGUUUUUGCUGGUUCUGGAUGAGUGGCGAACGGGUGAGUAACACGUGAGUAACCUGCCCCCUUCUUCUGGAUAACCGCGUGAAAGUGUGGCUAAUACGGGAUAUUCUGCGCCUGCUGCAUGGUGGGUGUGGGAAAGAUAUUGUUUCGGUGGGGGAUGGGCUCGCGGCCUAUCAGCUUGUUGGUGGGGUGAUGGCCUACCAAGGCGGUGACGGGUAGCCGGCCUGAGAGGGUGGACGGUCACACUGGGACUGAGACACGGCCCAGACUCCUACGGGAGGCAGCAGUGGGGAAUAUUGCACAAUGGGCGCAAGCCUGAUGCAGCGACGCCGCGUGAGGGAUGGAGGCCUGCGGGUCGUAAACCUCUUUCGCCAGUGAAGCAGGCCUGUCCCUUUUGUGGGUGGGUUGACGGUAGCUGGAUAAGAAGCGCCGGCUAACUACGUG
rnacentral:rRNA from 1 species